AUGCCACUAAAUAUGGACUCUUCCACAGGCUUCGUGACUGCGAUGCUCCUCAUACUCGCAAGGACCCAUGGGGACUCAGUGACACAGACAGAAGGUAAAGUGACCCUCUCAGAAGAGGACAUUCUUACUAUUCACUGCAACUAUUCAGCCUCAGGAUACCCAACCCUAUAUUGGUACGUGCAGUAUCCCGGAGAAGGUCCACAGCUCCUCUUCAGAGCCACGAAGGCCAACGAGAAAGGAAACAGCAGAGGUUUUGAAGCUACAUAUAAUAGAGAAUCCACUUCCUUCCACUUGCAGAAAACCUCGGUCCAAGAGUCAGACUCGGCUGUGUACUACUGUGCUGUGGGUGACACAGUGACAGAAACCACAGGGGGAGCUGAACACAAACUCAGCACCAGGGGCCUGGCUGCUGAGCUCCUGCCUCUGGAGUCGCUUUGGUUCCUCUGUGCUGUGUUCCUCUCUGUAUCUCUGGUUGGCACACAAAUCAUACAAAUAAAUAGCAACAGAAGAAGAACGAGGAGUCUUCCAUCCUCAACUCUGAUUGGGACUAAAGCAGAAUCUGUGCAAACGUCCCUCAUGCGAAGCCUGAGAUUCCCCCCAGUAAAGCCACGUGACUAA